UUGAGGGAAACUCUCUGAAGAUCUUCAGGGUUCUCUUCUGUGUGUUUCUCUGGGUUUCUCCUCCCAGCACCUCUGCCUGGAAAUGCUCUCGAGGCAUUUGUUAUUGCUUCAUGCAGGAAGAAUAAUUAAGUCCCCACUUUCCCAUGUUGGUUGGAAAUGGAAAUCUGAGAAAUGCUUUUGAAAUUCAGUGAGUAUGAGCUCGAAAGCUAUUGGCCGCAAGUAACAGACAAUGUGACUAACUAUAUGUAAACCUUUUAAUGUUUACUCAUGCAGCAGUCACCGCUAGUCAUUCCUUAACAUGUCAAAUGUUAGUUGGGCACAUGGAUGUCCAAGUGUAGUCUACCUUUCUCAGUCCCGC
rnacentral:lncRNA from 1 species